GUCCUCCAUCUGUGAGUCAGCCGGGGGCCUCCGUCUGUGUGUGUCUGCAGCCAGUGUAGGAGUGACUUCCCACAAAGUGUUAAGCGACAGUGAGACGCUGGCGGUUUUCCAGGGCACUGAGGCCGUGGGCAGGCUGGCUGGCCCCACCAGGGGAAGUGUUUGCAGUCCUGGUCGAUGGGCACACAAGCCUGAAAAUGUUUCUCCUGUGUGCUGGUGCAGUCCGGCUAUUUUUGAAGAAUGCUUGCUCUUGUUAAACAAAGCCUGAGCCCUGUUGGGAUGAGGCUGUUUUGAGCUGAGGCAGAGCUAGAAAGACAAGGGUGAAACACUGUGGAGAACCCUCAUGGAUCCUCUAAUCUGUGCAUGAUCUUGGAGGCCACACUUACACUGACUGCCACCCCCACACUGCUGGGCACCUGUGGCUCAAACGUUUCUCACCGUCUGCCACCUGCAUCCCUCGGUCUCGCCCUUGACACUGCAGGGAGGAGCUGAACCCCUGUGCUGUGAGCACUCUUCAGAUGGAUGAGGAUGUAGCAGCAGCCUCCCCCAGGCUUCUCAUCACCUCUGCCCUUGUCGCACACUCCUGUUAAGCCCAUAUCAAAUCAUUCCAUGCAUAAAACAAGUUGCCAAGGAGAGAGACUUACUGCUAUUUUUUUUUUUUAAAAAAGACCCGAACCCUUCUGUUUUUGUCAAAGUACACAAUGGAGUAGAAAUUUUGGAAAAUAGAGGAAAUAGCUUUAAAAAUAAUCACAUAUAAUCUCCCAGGCCAGAGAAAACUACUGAGAAUGUUUCACGGUACAUCUCCGUUUCUUCCAGUGCAUAGAAUUAGCUUCUACAUGGUGUUAAUAGUAUUGUAUUGUACUUAUUGCUUUAUAAUAUCCUUUUAUAUUUUAGAACAUCCUAGACUUUUUCACAAUUUAUUAAGUAUUCUCUAUGACAUUGGUUUCGUGGCUUUAAGCAUUUCUGCUGGAAGAGCCCUUGAUCACUCUCCAUUUCUUUCCUUUUCAAAUUUUCUUUCACGGCAUGCAUUGCCAUCUGCCAUUUUACGAUGUAUUUAGUGAUUUCUUGUCUGUGUCCUCAGCUAAAAUAGAAGCUUCAGCAGGAUAGGGUCUUUGCUGGUUUUGUCCACUGUUAUAUUAAAAGAACACAGAAUAAUAAGUGACACAUGGCAGACGGUCCACAAAUAUUUGUUGGAUACAUGAGUGGCUUUAAGCAGUCAUCCACUGAUGGACACUUGAAGUGACUAUGCAAUACACUACAUUGUAUGUAAAUCUUUUUGCUGUUAAAGCAAAUCUUCAGUGUGACCUUUCCAGGUCAAAAAGUAUGGAUUUUAGUUGGC
rnacentral:lncRNA from 10 species